rnacentral:rRNA from 1 species
GCGACGAUCCCUAGCUGGUCUGAGAGGAUGACCAGCCACACUGGAACUGAGACACGGUCCAGACUCCUACGGGAGGCAGCAGUGGGGAAUAUUGCACAAUGGGCGCAAGCCUGAUGCAGCCAUGCCGCGUGUGUGAAGAAGGCCUUCGGGUUGUAAAGCACUUUCAGCGAGGAGGAAGGUGGUGAACUUAAUACGUUCAUCAAUUGACGUUACUCGCAGAAGAAGCACCGGCUAACUCCGUGCCGGCAGCCGCGGUAAUACGGAGGGUGCAAGCGUUAAUCGGAAUUACUGGGCGUAAAGCGCACGCAGGCGGUUUGUUAAGUCAGAUGUGAAAUCCCCGGGCUCAACCUGGGAACUGCAUUCGAAACUGGCAAGCUAGAGUCUCGUAGAGGGGGGUAGAAUUCCAGGUGUAGCGGUGAAAUGCGUAGAGAUCUGGAGGAAUACCGGUGGCGAGGGCGGCCCCCUGGACGAAGACUGACGCUCAGGUGCGAAAGCGUGGGGAGCAAACAGGAUUAGA